rnacentral:rRNA from 1 species
GAAGUAAAAGUCGUAACAAGGUUUCCGUAGGUGAACCUGCGGAAGGAUCAUUAUUGAAAUAAACUUGAUAAGUUGCUGCUGGUUCUCUAGGGAACAAUGUGCACACUUGUCAUCUUUGUAUCUUCACCUGUGCACCUUUUGUAGACCUGAUUAUCUCUCUGAAUGCUUUAUAGCACUCAGGAUUGAGGAUUGACUUCUUGUCUCUUCUUACAUUUUCAGGUCUAUGUUUCUUCAUAUACCCCAAUGUAUGUUUAUAGAAUGUAAUUAAUGGGCCUUUGUGCCUAUAAACCUUUACAACUUUCAGCAACGGAUCUCUUGGCUCUCGCAUCGAUGAAGAACGCAGCGAAAUGCGAUAAGUAAUGUGAAUUGCAGAAUUCAGUGAAUCAUCGAAUCUUUGAACGCACCUUGCGCUCCUUGGUAUUCCGAGGAGCAUGCCUGUUUGAGUGUCAUUAAUAUUAUCAACCUUUUGGGUUGGAUUUGGGUUUGCUGGCCUCUAUCAGGUCAGCUCCCCUUAAAUGCAUUAGCAGACAACAUUUUGCCAAAUGUUCAUUGGUGUGAUAAUUAUCUACGCUAUUGACAUGAAGCAAAGGUUCAGCUUCUAACUGUCCAUUGACUUGGACAACUUUAUUAAUGUGACCUCAAAUCAGGUAGGACUACCCGCUGAACUUAAGCA